AUGCUUUAUACAUGCAAGUCGAGCGGCAGCGCGGGGGCAACCCUGGCGGCGAGCGGCGAACGGGUGAGUAAUACAUCGGAACGUGUCCCGUAGUGGGGGAUAACCCGGCGAAAGCCGGACUAAUACCGCAUAUGCUCUACGGAGGAAAGUGGGGGACCCGCAAGGGCCUCAUGCUAUGGGAGCGGCCGAUGUCCGAUUAGCUUGUUGGUGAGGUAACGGCUUACCAAGGCGACGAUCGGUAGCUGGUCUGAGAGGAUGAUCAGCCACACUGGGACUGAGACACGGCCCAG
rnacentral:rRNA from 1 species